rnacentral:lncRNA from 1 species
GCUCCGGGCCGCCGGCCCUCGCUUGGCGCGGAGACCUGGCUGCGAGACCAAGCGUGGCUUUGAUUCUGGCGCCUGCGUGUCAGCAGCGCGGCGUGGCCGGGAAAGCUGGGCCCCGCUCUGGGGGUCCCCCUGAUGGGCCUGAGAGGAAAACGCUUUGAAAUUGAUGGGAGCUGGGAAAGCCACUGAGAGGGACGUCCUCCCCUUGAGGCUGGAUGCUACCCUGCACCCUUGAAACUAGAAAACCUGGUUGGAGUCUGCAAACCGCGAUGCAGGAUGUGGGCACCGAGAAAAAGCAAGAGAUCCCAGUCAGGACUUCGUUGGCCCAAACCACGGUCUGCAUGUCAGCAAAGACUUGGUUAUAAUCUCUGCAUACCUAAGAUUGCUUAGUUGAGCCAUCUUUUGGCAGCCCUUCGACGACCUUCACUAAAUCCUGGUUUCUUAGGAGCGCCCUCAUUUAACACCAAGGCCCUUUAGUUGCCUAUACAAAGGGAGGGCUUACAGUUAAUGACCUUUGUGCCCACACAGUAGUACAAGGUCAGCUAACUUAAUGUGCCCAGUGAAUGUCGAUCGGGUUAUUGGGAACUUCCUGAGAGAUGGAGCACCUUCGUUAGGAUUUCUGUUUCACAAUCUCAAGGCUUUAUUUUAGCACCUCUCUGCAAUACUUAAACAUAACCUUUGAGGUGAGAGGGAAAGGACAUUAAAAUAUCUACAUAACCAUUUCUGGAAUUCUCUCCUUGUCCACACCGAGGAAGGAAAAGAAAGAGACCACUAUGCUUGAAAUCCAUCCAGGCAAGUUGGAGUAGAAACCUGAUGGAGAGACCAUGGAGGACUGCUGCUUAUUGGCUUGUCUCCCAUGGCUUGCUCAGCUGGCUUUCUUACAGCAUCCAGGACCAGCAGCCCAGGGGUGACAGAGUGAGCUGGUGCCACAGAGAGCUGGGCCCUCCCACUUCAAUCAUCAAUCAAGAAUGGAGAACAGGGGCUGGAGAGAUGGCUCAGCGGUUAAGAGCACUGACCGCUCUUCUGAAGGUCCUGAGUUCAAACCCCAGCAACCACAUGGUGGCUCACACCAUCUGUCAUGAGAUCUGAUACCCUCUUCUGGGGUGUCUGAAGACAGCUACA